rnacentral:rRNA from 1 species
UACAUGGGGUGCAAACGUUGCUCGGAAUUAUUGGGCGUAAAGCGCACGUAGGCGGUCCGUUAAGUCGGAUGUGAAAGCCCCCGGCUCAACCGGGGAAGUGCAUCCGAAACUGGCAGGCUAGAGUACGAAAGAGGGUCGCGGAAUUCCCGGUGUAGAGGUGAAAUUUGUAGAUAUCGGGAGGAAUACCGAUGGCGAAGGCAGCCCCCUGGGAUGACACUGACGCUCAUGCACGAAAGCGUGGGGAGCAACAGG